rnacentral:rRNA from 1 species
CCUACGGGAGGCAGCAGUGAGGAAUUUUCCGCAAUGGGCGAAAGCCUGACGGAGCAAUACCGCGUGAGGGAUGAAGGAUUUUGGUCUGUAAACCUCUUUUCUCAAGAAAGAAGUUCUGACGGUACUUGAGGAAUAAGCAUCGGCUAACUCCGUGCCAGCAGCCGCGGUAAUACGGGGGAUGCAAGCGUUAUCCGGAAUGAUUGGGCGUAAAGCGCCUGUAGGUUGUUUAUUAAGUCCGUUGUUAAAGCCUAGGGCUUAACCCUAGAAAAGCAAUGGAAACUAGUAGACUAGAGUAUGGCAGGGGUAGAGGGAAUUUCUAGUGUAGCGGUGAAAUGCGUAGAUAUUAGAAAGAACACCGGUGGCGAAAGCGCUCUACUGGACCAUUACUGACACUCAGAGGCGAAAGCUAGGGUAGCAAAAGGGAUUAGAUACCCCUGUAGUCCUAGCCGUAAACGAUGGAUACUAGAUGUUGUGCAUUAUGUACAGUAUCGUAGCUAACGCGUUAAGUAUCCCGCCUGGGGAGUACGCUCGCAAGGGUGAACUUAAAUGAAUUGACGG